rnacentral:lncRNA from 1 species
UCCUCAUCACCCUUCCCUCCUCGGCUUAAUGGGAGGUUCGCGGGGCACCUCUCAGGCUGCUGCUGCCUCUUCCGCCCAGCAGGACGAGCACAAGGUGAGCACCGGCCAACCGCAGCCCUCCUCUGCCCUUGUUGCUAUUCCCUCGUGAGUUCGUUCCAUUGUGGUGCGUCGGCUCUCCCUCCUUCCCGUCCCUCAACAGGAGCAGCGUCGCACCCUCCAUAGCUGAGCAUACCUAGAACGGGCCAAGUUUUUCGUCGCACAAUGGUUAUCCCCCUUCAAUAUGGUUGAAUAUGACUUGUUUCUUGUUGAAGGGUCAUUCCCUUCAGUAUUGAAGAAUUAUUGAUGGAAGGUUCUUUUUUGCAGCUUUUCAUGUUGUCUCAACUCUCAAUUCAGUGUAGAAGUUGAUUGAGAUGCCUCUCUGAUAUGAUGUUUUGCUUCCUCUGAAAUAGUGAUCAGAAUGUAAAUUUUCAAUGAAAAUACCAUUCCUGUUCAUACUAAGAAAUUGGCAAGAUUUAAUUAUAUGGAUAUCAAAUUUUAAAGCUAGGCUUCACCCAAUCCAUCUCUCUCUCUGUUGCCUACCGCCACACACGGAUGGUAGUGGUUCAGUUUCCUGUUACAUUUAACAUCUCUACAUUUUAAUCCUGUAUAACUGGAUCCAAAAAUAUAGAGGUCAAGGUCUAUUUAGUAUUAGUUUGAUGGCUUAAUUUGCAAGAGAAAUGAAGUGCAUAGUUUACGCUUCUUAAUUUUUCUUCAGUUGUUUUGGGUAGAAUUGCUUACCUAGGCAUUCGUAUUUUGUUACACGAAUCUGACUAUGCUCUUAUGCUUUUAGCCAUACCCAUCUCAUUUUGUUUCUUGGUUUAAUUGCCUACCUAGCCAUAAAAAUGGGAUCUGCACACACGUCUUAUUUAGAUCCAUGGGUUCUCAGCCAUGUUGACUUCUGAAUAAUUAUUCAUUGAUGUUUUCUUAUGUUCUUUUGUUAGCGCAGGUGCAUUAGUUAGGCAUGCAUGUAUGUAUGGAAAAUUUGUUAGUGAUGAUUCAAUUAUUUUGGUUCAGUUUGAAGGGCUCUCCAGGCUUAAGAUAUUUGGUUUCAUUAGAACUACCGAAUUACUUUGCUUAGCUGUCUUGCCGGUGGUCGCAGGUUUUACUUUGUGAGAUGUAGGAUCUGCUGCCGGCGACACCUCACGAAUUUUCUUUUUAAUUUGAAUUAGUAAUCACACAAUUGAAUUUAUAUUUCUAUCAGCAUAAUUUCAUGUCCCCUUUCCUAUUUUCUACAGGUACACAUGAAUCUACGAUCCAGAUUCUAGCUACAUCCUUUACUACAACAAUCUCAGUCUAUACUGAAAAGUGUACUGCUUAUAUAGCUGAUAUCUUUAAUUCAUAUGGUCGUCCGCUGGAUGCUGACUGGUCUUUGGUUCAUAUGGUCACUGGCUAGAAGCUUGCUGCUAUGUUUGGUUCAUAUGGUCGUCGACUGGAAGCUCGCGCUCUGAAUGAUCUCAUUCUCUAUGGCCGGCAAUACACACUUCUCAUUACUACCAGCCGGGUCUUCUCAGAGUGAUUGAAUAAAUUCCAUUCCUUCGUGCUGCAACCUUCCAUGAUUUUUGCUCAAAAUGGCAUAAUAUGCCACUUGCGCCACCAUUGAUCUUUGAAAUUUAGUUACUCCAGUUUUUCGUAGAUAACAAUUGUGUAGUCUUUGUCCUUUCCACUUACCAUUACCAUUUUUGUGAUGAUACUUCACUAGAAAUUUGUUUGGUACUCCUCAUCUAAAAUAUAUUCAGAACGAGUUCACUUUUGCAAUGCAUGGGAGUUUAGUUUUUGUUGCAUGCGCAGUUAUAUAUGUUUAGUCAUUUGUAUUGAGAGGUCAGUGCGUCUUGGUUGUUUCUGUUGUUGAUCCAGGAGGUUCUUGGUUGCUUGGUGUUUUUGCUACACGUGCAGUACUAUAAUAUGCUAACCCAUAUAACGAUGAAGUAUAUUCUGUUUCGUAGAUGAGCAAAGUUUGCUGCAUGCAUAGUAUAUAUAUGUUUUCUUACAAAUAUAUGUAUGCCAUUAACUGCUAUCAUUGUGUUUUACAGGGGUUCAUGGGCCAUCAUGAUGAUAUACUUAAUUCUUUAAACAAGAAUGGUAAGAACUAAGGAGGGUUGUCUUGUCCAAGAGCUCUGCCGCGAUGGCAUCGCCACUCAGUGAUGCCUAAGCAGGAAGGCCAAUCGCGGGGAGGUGCGACAUGGGUGGCCUAAAGAGCUAAUUUGGUGCCCUCUCUCUUUGCCUCUUGUUUCCUCCGGCACCCAGAUUUUGAUGGCUAAUAUAUUGACUUCCUAAACAUCUUUAAUUUAUAAGUAAUGUAGUAGUUAUAUGCUUUUCAUUUAUGAUAGAGAGAUUGAAUCAGGGUGUUUUGCUUGCUGCUUUGUAGGAAAAUGUACCCUGUUGCAGUUCCUCUGUCUUCACGAAUUACUAUCCAACUUUUAAGUCUGUUCUAAACUCUCAGCCCCAUGUAAAUCUGAUGGAAGAUUGGGCCGUUUAAUUUGGAACAAAAAGGGUAAUAUGCUCUCAGUUGCUUGAAUCUGUCCAGACCUGAAAAAUAGAUAUACUUUGAAAGCUUGAUAUAUGAGUAUGUAACUGAAGGAGUAGACAUUUCUUGUUCUUGGUCGUCGCAGUUUUUGUUUAUUCCAUUAAAAAGAGAUGGAUUACAGUUACUUGACACGCACACCCACACCCGGGCGCAAGGUCUGUUAGUCCUUUAAAUUGAUUAUAUGACAUAAGAAGAGGCUGGAGCAUAGAUUGGGGUGACAUAAAUAUAUUGUUUAGAAAAUAACAAAUGGAACUCCCAGACACCGCCAUCUCUGCAUCCACCUUGCUCCGCAUAGCAGCAUGUGUGUGGAAGCGGGGACAGGCGAUCAUGAGCAGAUG